rnacentral:lncRNA from 1 species
AUGCCAUCUCAUUAACUCUAUAAUUUUUGAUGACAUAAAAAAUUUCUGCAACCUCCGCUUCAAUGGAAAGUACCGCACUUAUUUUGUAGCAAUUCGACUAUUCUUAGUAGUAUCAUCAUUUGAAUCUUCUAUAAAUUGCUUGUAUCUAGAACUCUGAUAUAUUUGAUAUUUAUCAUCUCCUUCAUCUUUACCUCUAAACAACAUGAAAUUAUUGGGACAUGCAUCCCAUGUCUUAUAAGUAAAAUCCAAAUCCGUGGUGA